CAAAGGCAGAUGGAACUGACCCUGCACACACCGCGUUUGACAGGAGAGCUGCAGGCUAGAGCAUUCCCUGAGGGGCUUCCUCAACUCCAGACAAACCUCACCCACACCUGCCCAGAGGCACAUUCACCCGCAGUUCUCCAAGAGAUCAGCUGUUGAACAGUCUUUAAUCAGGAAUGUUUUUGGAAGGAACAUAUGGAGAAUCAAAAGGGGGCUAAAUAUAAACCUGUAUUUACAGAACUGAAUAAGGAGCAGAGAGAAGCUGAACAGAAGGAGCUGGAUGGAGCAGCUCUCUCCUAGAACAGGUUUUUUUGGUGGGUGUGGGUGUGUGUUUUGCUGUAGGUGUGAAUUUCUAGAACCCUUGAGUUACCUAUAAUUUAAAAAAGAAAAAAAAAAACAGCUUAUGAGGCCAAAAAUAAUUUUGAUGCCAGUCACAUUAUGGAAGUACCUGAGGCUAUUUGCACUAACUUUCAUCAGAAGGAAACCCAUGUGUUUGCGUUUUAUAGACUUAGAAAACAGAGACUUAAAAUAGAAGUUUCAAAUUUAAGACUUUUUUAAGUAGUUAAGGCAAUUCUAGGGAAAAUGUUCUACAUCAUUAAUCCUGAAAGAAAAAAGAGGCAAACUUGGAAGUUAGGGCAAAACAAGCAUGAGAGAAAUUCCCAUGGUCUAAAAAAGGUGAAGAAAGACUAAACAUUUACUGAGCAAAAACCACAUGCAGAAGGAUUCUCUCAUUUAAUUUUCAUAAUAUUGUAAGCUAAGGGGAUGAUUAUUCUUUCUUAUUAAAAGAAAAAUCUCAGGAGCUCCCGUCGUGGCACAGUGGUUAACGAAUCCGACUAGGAACCAUGAGGUUGCAGGUUCAAUCCCUGGUGUUGCUCAGUGAGUUAAGUAUCCGGCGUUGCCGUGAGCUGUGGUGUAGGUCACAGACGUGGCUUGAAUCUGGUGUUGCUGUGGCUGUGGUGUAGGCUGGCUGCUACAGCUCUGAUUCAACCCCUAGCCUGGGAACCUCCAUAUGCC
rnacentral:lncRNA from 1 species